GAACGCCUCUAAGUCAGAAUCCGUGCUAGAAACAAUGAUUUUGUCCCAUACAUCUUAUAGUUGUGUCCGAAUAGAGCCUCGUGCUCGUGAACCAUCAUCUGUGGGUCAAACCAGCCAGGUGGAAAGACUUGGUUGGUUUUCCUAUUUAAAUUAUUGAAAAUAUGUGUGGGGGUAAAUCCUUUGCAGACGACUUGAAUCGGAACGGGGUACUGUAAGUGGUAGAGUAGCCUUGUUGCUACGAUCCACUGAGGUUCAGCCCUUGUUCUAAAGAUUUGUU
rnacentral:rRNA from 1 species